UACGUAGGUGGCAAGCGUUGUCCGGAAUUAUUGGGCGUAAAGCGCACGUAGGCGGUUUGUUAAGUCGGAUGUGAAAUCCCUCGGCUCAACUGAGGAAGUGCAUCCGAAACUGGCAGGCUUGAGUACUAAAGAGGGUCGCGGAAUUCCCGGUGUAGAGGUGAAAUUCGUAGAUAUCGGGAGGAACACCGGUGGCGAAGGCGGCUUUCUGGCCCGUUCUUGACGCUGAGGAGCGAAAGUGUGGGGAGCGAACAGG
rnacentral:rRNA from 1 species